GCUUUAAUUACAUUUUAAUUACAGUUACAGUGAGCAAUACUUGAGAUGAUCUAUGGCUGCCAGAUGUAUUUAUUCUGCUAUUAACUAUUAGAAUUUAAAUCUGUUCCAUUUCACAGAUUGCUGUGAUGUUAGGAAGAAUUAAGCAUCCCAUUAACAGCACCCAAUAGUAGGUGGAUAACAAGGAUGGCUACACUUGCAGCUACAACACCAGGAGUCCAGGAUAAAAAAUCAGAAAACUUCCUACAGGUGACCAAGCGUUGCUCCUGGGGCAGAUUUUCCAAGGCACUGCAAAUCUGCUGAGCUCUGCUCCUGCAACCAGGCUGCCCCCGAAAUCCUGCCUGGGGUGAGGGAUCUGACCAAGGACUGCCAUCCAUGGAGCUCCUCUGGCCCAGAGCCACCACCCACAGCCUGCUCCAGCCCCUCUCUAGGAGCCAAGUGCUGCUUGAAAAAUUGCUUUGGAAAUUAAAGUUCCUUCCAGAGUUUUCUGUAACAAAUAGCAGAGGGAGCUGUUGAGGCAUUGGUGAGUAGAGCCAGUUCCUGAAGAACAUCUGAGGCUGAAGGGUCACACCCUGCAGGAAGGGUUACCUUCUCACACCUUGGACAGCUUGGGGCUGGCUCUCUCAGCUCCUCUGUUCUUGGUAACAACCAGCAGAUCAUCCAGAGAGAAUCUGGAGCAGGGAUGUGAUUCAGCCCAAGUGUCCUGGGUUCAGGAAGAGCCUGGGAAGAUGAGCUUUUCACUUGCCAAAGUGGACAAAAGAUGCUCUUCAUGCCCCCUGCACCACACCUGAGCUCUCCUGCCCCUUCCACUGCCUGAAUGCAAAGCAGAGACACUGAGAGGAUCCCAGCCCUCCUCCCUCAGCAGGAACGAGGAGAGGAGGGUUGCCUCCAACAAAUGAAAACACAAGGUGCUAAAUAAAACCAGCUCCAUUAUCGGCUCUGCUUUCCACCUUUGGUGAACAUCCAGCUUCAACCUCCUGCCUUCUACAGGGCUCAUGAAGAGCGCACAAAACAUGCAAAAAUCCAUUUUUUCCCCCUCUUUCAGGUUUUGAAUUUGUGGUGUCCUGGGGCUGAGAGCCAGCACAGCUCUGGACCACCCACACUGUGACUGCCACCGAGCACAUGAAAAAAUUAUAUCUGGGAUAUAAAAGACAGGUACCCCCAUUUGUAAUUAUCACAUGCCAACUAACGCCUGUUGUUGGGGAAGAAAACAUUUUGCAAGCAUCUGGAUGCUUAAACAAGCACCAGAGAAAGUUCAUUAAUAUAGAAAUUGAAGUUAAUUAACUAACUGAUGGUCUCCUCUGUUCCAUUCAUUUUAAAGGAAUCUGCAUCCUUCUCUUGGUCUACUGACUGGCUUUAUUCAGCUCCAGUUGCUAUAUCAAAGUGAUAUAUUCUGCUUACAAAUUCAAGGCAAAGCCCAUUUAUCUAUUACAGAAGGAGAAUGGAUUUACAUUUAAAUGGCUGUUCUUCAUGUAUCUAAUAACUCAGUUGAGUAAUCAAAGAAGUACAAUCUAAGCAGGAGCCUCUCUGUGUUUGGCAUUAAUAAAGCCUCUAAGAUUCCUCCACACAUUCCUCCCAACUUAUUUAUUUCAACAAAGUGGGAAAGCUGCUGUUUCCCAGCUGCAAUCA